GAAAAUUAACAUAAGAAAUAAAUGUUACAACAAUAAUUGUUCCUUCAUAUUUUGAAUGAAAGUUAUGCCCUUUGGUAAGUUUGAAAUUUGUUUUUACAUGAAUUUUACAUGGCAUAGAAGAUUAGUGGAUGGACAAUCAUUUUGAAGUUGGGAUGAUCGUUAAAUGCAUGGUAAUUGUCACUUUGGUGGGCUACGGUAAUCUAUUAAGGAAGCUAGGUGAGAUCUACAAGAUAAUAAGAGAUCAAAAAGUUAAGAAGGAGUCUUUCUAGUUUGACACUCUAAUACCCAAGUUAGUGGGUAAAAAAGAGAGUAUGUAAUAGAUGCUAAAGAAUGUAUUUAAGACUUGGAAAAUCUAAAAUUGCUUCGUAUAUGAUAUAUCAAGGAGUUACAUAGCUUGGUCCAUCUAAUAAGAAGUUGUUAAUGGACUCCUCAAUGCAUAUGGACAGUGAAUUGAUAGUUGCUUAAAAUAUAAUAUUUUUAUC
rnacentral:misc_RNA from 1 species